rnacentral:rRNA from 1 species
AUAAUGGGUCAGCGACUUAUAUUCUGUAGCAAGGUUAACCGUAUAGGGGAGCCGCAGGGAAACCGAGUCUUAACUGGGCGUUAAGUUGCAGGGUAUAGACCCGAAACCCGGUGAUCUAGCCAUGGGCAGGUUGAAGGUUGGGUAACACUAACUGGAGGACCGAACCGACUAAUGUUGAAAAAUUAGCGGAUGACUUGUGGCUGGGGGUGAAAGGCCAAUCAAACCGGGAGAUAGCUGGUUCUCCCCGAAAGCUAUUUAGGUAGCGCCUCGUGAAUUCAUCUUCGGGGGUAGAGCACUGUUUCGGCUAGGGGGUCAUCCCGACUUACCAACCCGAUGCAAACUACGAAUACCGAAGAAUGUUAUCACGGGAGACACACGGCGGGUGCUAACGUCCGUCGUGAAGAGGGAAACAACCCAGACCGCCAGCUAAGGUCCCAAAGUCAUGGUUAAGUGGGAAACGAUGUGGGAAGGCCCAGACAGCCAGGAUGUUGGCUUAGAAGCAGCCAUCAUUUAAAGAAAGCGUAAUAGCUCACUGGUCGAGUCGGCCUGCGCGGAAGAUGUAACGGGGCUAAACCAUGCACCGAAGCUGCGGCAGCGACACUAUGUGUUGUUGGGUAGGGGAGCGUUCUGUAAGCCGUUGAAGGUGGCCUGUGAGGGUUGCUGGAGGUAUCAGAAGUGCGAAUGCUGACAUAAGUAACGAUAAUGCGGGUGAAAAACCCGCACGCCGGAAGACCAAGGGUUCCUGUCCAACGUUAAUCGGGGCAGGGUGAGUCGACCCCUAAGGCGAGGCCGAAAGGCGUAGUCGAUGGGAAACAGGUUAAUAUUCCUGUACUCGGUGUUACUGCGAAGGGGGGACGGAGAAGGCUAUGUUGGCCGGGC